rnacentral:rRNA from 1 species
UACGUAGGGGGGCUAGCGUUGUCCGGAAUCAUUGGGCGUAAAGCGCGUGUAGGCGGCCCGGUAAGUCCGCUGUGAAAGUCGGGGGCUCAACCCUCGAAUGCCGGUGGAUACUGUCGGGCUAGAGUGCGGAAGAGGCGAGUGGAAUUCCUGGUGUAGCGGUGAAAGUGCGCAGAUAUCAGGAGGAACACCAAUGGGCGAAGGCGGGUAGCUGGGCCGGACACUGACGCUGAGGCGCGAAAGCCCAGGGGAGCGAACGGG